AGGUUCCGCCCGGGAUCGAACCGGGGACCUUUCGCGUGUAAAGCGAACGUGAAAACCACUACACCACGAAGAAGACC